rnacentral:lncRNA from 1 species
UUGCGGGAAUCAGAAAAUGAUUUUCGGCGCGUUUCUCGGCGAAAUCCGCCGACGAAAUGCGAGUUCGGUUCGGAAUUAUUCCGACGGUGCUUCGUGAUGGAUUGUUUAGUCACUGAGCCUUGUUGGCUGGUCACUCACGUCAUUUUGAGGGUUCGGAAAUGACGGGUGAGCGACGGUGGGUUCCGGUGUCGAAAUCGACACUUCCGGGAACCCGGAUCGGAACGAAUAGCCGACGAUAAUUG